GUCCAUGCCCUAAACGAUGGGCACUAGGUGUGAGGACUUUUUAAUGUCUUCGUGCCGUAGUUAACGCAUUAAGUGCCCCACCUGGGAAGUACGGCCGCAAGGUUGAAACUCAAAGGAAUUGACGGGGGCCCGCACAAGCGGUGGAGCAUGUGGUUUAAUUCGACGCAACGCGAAGAACCUUACCCAGGCUUGACAUCUGGAGAACCCCUUGGAAACUUGGGGGUGCCCGCAAGGGAGCUCCAAGACAGGUGCUGCAUGGCUGUCGU
rnacentral:rRNA from 1 species